GCUUGACUGCGAGACAGACACGUCGAGCAGGUACGAAAGUAGGUCUUAGUGAUCCGGUGGUUCUGUAUGGAAGGGCCAUCGCUCAACGGAUAAAAGGUACUCCGGGGAUAACAGGCUGAUACCGCCCAAGAGUUCAUAUCGACGGCGGUGUUUGGCACCUCGAUGUCGGCUCAUCACAUCCUGGGGCUGAAGCCGGUCCCAAGGGUAUGGCUGUUCGCCAUUUAAAGUGGUACGCGAGCUGGGUUUAGAACGUCGUGAGACAGUUCGGUCCCUAUCUGCCGUGGACGUUUGAGAUUUGAGAGGGGCUGCUCCUAGUACGAGAGGACCGGAGUGGACGAACCUCUGGUGUUCCGGUUGUCACGCCAGUGGCAUUGCCGGGUAGCUAUGUUCGGAAAAGAUAACCGCUGAAAGCAUCUAAGCGGGAAACUUGCCUCAAGAUGAGAUCUCACUGGGA
rnacentral:rRNA from 1 species